CAAUUGGAGAGUUUGAUUCUGGCUCAGAACGAACGCUGGCGGCGUGGUUCAGGCAUGCAAGUCGCACGAUCUCUAAAAGAGAUAGUGGCAGAAGGGUUAGUAACACGUGGGUAAUCUACCCUCGAAUUGGGGAUAACUCCGCGAAAGCGGGGCUAAUACCCAAUGAAAUUUCCGGAUCGCAUGAUUUGGAAAUCAAAGGUGGCUCGCAAGAGCUGCCGUUUGAGGAGGAGCCCGCGGCCUAUCAGCUAGUUGGUGAGGUAACGGCCCACCAAGGCAAUUGACGGGUAGCUGGUCUAAGAGGACGAUCAGCAACAUUGGGACUGAGACACUGCCCAGACUCCUACGGGAGGCUGCAGUCGAGGAUCUUUAGCAAUGCCCGAAAGGGUGACUAUGCGACGCCGCGUGCAGGAUGA
rfam:Candidatus Omnitrophica bacterium CG1_02_46_14 cg1_0.2_scaffold_30056_c, whole genome shotgun sequence.